rnacentral:rRNA from 1 species
UACGUAGGUGGCAAGCGUUGUCCGGAUUUACUGGGUGUAAAGGGCGUGUAGGCGGGAUGGUAAGUCAGAUGUGAAAUACCGGGGCUCAACCCCGGGGCUGCAUUGGGAACUGCCCCGCUCGAGUGCCGGAGGGGCAGGCGGAAUUCCUAGUGUAGCGGUGAAAUGCGUAGAUAUUAGGAGGAACACCAGUGGCGAAGGCGGCUUACUGGACUGUAACUGACGUUGAGGCUCGAAAGCGUGGGGAGCAAAAAGG